rnacentral:rRNA from 1 species
GGCCAGACUCCUACGGGAGGCAGCAGUGGGGGCUCUUGCACAAUGGGGGGCACCCUGAUGCCGCGACGCCGCGUGGGUGAAGGAGCGUUUCGGCGCGUAACGCCCUCUCGGCAGGGCCGACGGAGGAAGGUACCUGACUAAGAAGCCCCGGCUAACUACGUGCCAGCAACCGCGGGAAUACGUAGGGGGCAAGCGUUAUCCGGAUUUACUGGGUGUAAAGGGGGCGCAGACGGCAGCGCAAGCCAGGAGUGAAAGCCCGGGGCCCAACCCCGGGACUGCUCUUGGAACUGCGCGGCUGGAGUGCAGGAGGGGCAGGCGGAAUUCCUGGUGUAGCGGUGAAAUGCGUAGAUAUCAGGAGGAACACCGGUGGCGAAGGCGGCCUGCUGGACGGCGACUGACGUUGAGUCCCGAAAGCGUGGGUAGCGAACGGGAUUAGAUACCCGCGUAC